UACGGGGGGGGCAAGCGUUGUUCGGAAUUACUGGGCGUAAAGGGUUUGUAGGUGGCCGAUUAAGUCAUACGUGAAAUCCCUCAGCUUAACUGGGGAACUGCGUCUGAUACUGGUUGGCUUGAGUGCAGGAGAGGAACGCGGAAUUCCUGGUGUAGCGGUGAAAUGCGCAGAUAUCAGGAGGAACACCGGUGGCGAAGGCGGUUCUCUGGGCAUGUCCUGACGCUGAGGAGCGAAAGUGUGGGGAGCGAACAGG
rnacentral:rRNA from 1 species